UAUUUUCCUUUUUUGCCAGCCGCCGCGGUAAUACGUAGGGGGCAAGCGUUAUCCGGAUUUACUGGGUGUAAAGGGAGCGUAGACGGCAUGGCAAGCCAGAUGUGAAAGCCCGGGGCUCAACCCCGGGACUGCAUUUGGAACUGUCAGGCUAGAGUGUCGGAGAGGAAAGCGGAAUUCCUAGUGUAGCGGUGAAAUGCGUAGAUAUUAGGAGGAACACCAGUGGCGAAGGCGGCUUUCUGGACGAUGACUGACGUUGAGGCUCGAAAGCGUGGGGAGCAAACAGG
rnacentral:rRNA from 1 species